UACGUAGGGGGCGAGCGUUGUCCGGAAUUAUUGGGCGUAAAGCGCGCGCAGGCGGUUCUUUAAGUCCGGUGUUUAAGCCCGGGGCUCAACCUCGGGACGCACGGGAAACUGGGGGACUGGAGUGCAGGAGAGGGAAGCGGAAUUCCACGUGUAGCGGUGAAAUGCGUAGAGAUGUGGAGGAACACCAGUGGCGAAGGCGGCUUCCUGGCCUGUAACUGACGCUGAGGCGCGAAAGCGUGGGGAGCAAACAGG
rnacentral:rRNA from 1 species